GAUGAACGCUAGCGGCAGGCUUAACACAUGCAAGUCGAGGGGUAGAAGGAGCUUGCUCCUUUGAGACCGGCGCACGGGUGCGUAACGCGUAUGCAAUCUACCUUUUGCAGAGGGAUAGCCCAGAGAAAUUUGGAUUAAUACCUCAUAGUAUGUGAGGAUGGCAUCAUUUUCACAUUAAAGUCACAACGGCAAAAGAUGAGCAUGCGUCCCAUUAGCUAGUUGGUAAGGUAACGGCUUACCAAGGCUACGAUGGGCGACGGGUCUGAGGAGGGAGACCUCCCCACACGU
rnacentral:rRNA from 1 species